rnacentral:tRNA from 1 species
GAUUGUAUAGCUUAUAAAGAGCAUGGCAGUGAAGUUGUUAAGGAGUUAGGUUUAACUACAAUCA